AUGCUGUUUGUGCCUCUGAAAAAGACGUUUUUACGUUGAAACGUCAGUUUCCACUGCCCGUUAAACAAUGCGUUUCCAUUAGCUCUGAGCUAUGUGUACUCCACCGUCUCUUGUUUCCGUGUGAAUUUGUCCAGGUGUUGACGGCCUCCAGGUUCAUGACGUGGCGGAUGAUGUGGUACUCGUCUGCGAUGCCGUUCCCACCCAGCAUAUCCCUGGCCUGCCGGACGAUGUCCAAGGCCUUGCCGCAGUUGUUCCUCUUCAGCAUGGAGAUCAUCUCCGGGGCCGCCCUGGGGAAAGGACAGACAGAACCAGGGCUCAGCCUCUCCCUCUAAAGCCCAGAAAUACAGCAGGCUUCCUUGUAAAGGAAGCUCACUUCUUCUCAUCGAUGAGUCUGCCAAGCUGCAGACAGGACUGCAGUCCGAUGGUGAUCUCGGUCAGCAUGUCCGCCAUCUUCUUCUGCAUAAGCUGGUUCCUGGCCAGGGGAACACCAAACUGUAUCCUAGCACAUAGGGAUGGAGGAAGACAACUUCAGAUGAAACACGGAACUACACAGAAAAUACCCUCCUGUCUCCCCAAAUCCAUGUAGGCAGUCAAAAUGAUUUGUGCAACAUUUUACCACAUCCUGCCGCAGAACUGCUACUCGUCCUCCAGAUCAUUAUCCCUCCCAUUCGCAGACUAGACUUUGUCCUGUUUUUCUAGCUGCCGUACCUGUCCAGAGUGUACUGGCGCGCAGCGUGGAAACAGAACUCAGCGGCCCCCAGGGCGCCCCAGGCGAUGCCGUAACGAGCGUUGUUCAGACAGCCGAAGGGACCCUGUUCGAGAGAGGGAAAAUGGAGGACAGUCAGAAAACAAGUUGGCAGUUGACUGUGCAGCCAUGCUUAUUACCGCCGUAGCACGCAGGAGAUCACUCACUGCCAGGCCAGAGACUUUGGGCAGCAGGUUCUCCUCUGGCACCUCCACCUCGUCCAUCACGAUCAUGCCCGUGGCCGACGCCCGCAGGGAGAACUUGCCCUCGAUCUUGGGCGUGGUCAGGCCCGGCAUGCCGCGCUCCAGGAUGAAGCCUCGCACCCGGCCGUCCUCGCACUUGGCCCAAACCACGCAGACGUCUGCAACCGGAGAGUUGGUGAUCCUGGCGAGGGGCGACACA